rnacentral:rRNA from 1 species
CAGUCGCCGCGGGAAUACGGAGGAUCCAAGCGUUAUCCGGAAUCAUUGGGUUUAAAGGGUCCGUAGGCGGUCUUGUAAGUCAGUGGUGAAAGCCCAUCGCUCAACGGUGGAACGGCCAUUGAUACUGCAGGACUUGAAUUAUUGGGAAGUAACUAGAAUAUGUAGUGUAGCGGUGAAAUGCUUAGAGAUUACAUGGAAUACCAAUUGCGAAGGCAGGUUACUACCAAUUGAUUGACGCUGAUGGACGAAAGCGUGGGUAGCGAACAGGAUUAGAUACCCCGGUAGUCCCUGUCUCUUAUAC